rnacentral:lncRNA from 1 species
GUGCCAGGUUGGAGGCUGCGCGCGAAGACUGAGGGGCACUUCUGCAGGUAGUUAGGUUGUUACCUGGGACUUCAGAAAUUCAUCUCUCUGCACUGGAUUUGCCCAUCACAAUUUAAAGAAGCGAUGACUGUGAUCUCAGAGGCACCAUGAGCAGGAACUGGGGCAAGUGGAUGGAUUUUAAAAUGUGAAGGUAGUGGUUUUGGCAUGAUUUGCUUAUAAUGACUUAUAAUGAAUAGCUUGAUGGG